rnacentral:rRNA from 1 species
CCUACGGGAGGCAGCAGUGAGGAAUAUUGGUCAAUGGACGAGAGUCUGAACCAGCCAAGUAGCGUGAAGGAUGACUGCCCUAUGGGUUGUAAACUUCUUUUAUAUGGGAAUAAAAUGUUCCACGUGUGGGAUUUUGUAUGUACCAUAUGACUAAGGAUCGGCUAACUCCGUGCCAGCAGCCGCGGUAAUACGGAGGAUCCGAGCGUUAACCGGCUUUAUUGGGUUUAAAGGGAGCGUAGGUGGAUUGUUAAGUCAGUUGUGAAAGUUUGCGGCUCAACCGUAAAAGUGCAGUUGAAACUGGCAGUCGUGAGUACAGUAGAGGUGGGUGGAAUUCGUGGUGUAGCGGUGAAAUGCGUAGAUAUCACGAAGAACUCCGAUUGCGAAGGCAGCUCACUGGACUGCAACUGACACUGAGGCUCGAAAGUGUGGGUAUCAAACAGGAUUAGAUACCCGUGUAGUC